CAACCCUCAAACCCCCGGGUUUGGUGUUGGGGAUCGGAUUGCCUAGUCAAUCCGUCUCCGAAAUCUAGUGGCGGUCUCGCUGCAGCCUCCAUUGCGUAGUAGCUAACACCUCGCAACUGGAACGCGGCGCGGCCAUGCCGUUAAACACCCAACUUCUGAA
rnacentral:misc_RNA from 1 species